UCAAUUGUAAAUUGUAAACAUACCA
rnacentral:piRNA from 1 species